CUUCAAUAACCAUUCUGCCACCAUGAAGCAUCCUGCCCUGAGUUCCACAGUUGGGAGGAAAUGCAUUCUGCUAACAACUACAUGAGCUUGGAAGAGGAAACUGAGCCUCAGAUGAAACCAGCUCUGGCUGACUCCUUGACUGCAGCUUUGUAAGAUCCUGAGCACAGCACACAUUGAAGCUGAGGCUGGACAGUGGGUGUUGUUUUAAGCCACUAAGUUUGUGAUAAUUUGAUACCUAGCAGCAGAAAACUAAUACACCUCCCUUUUGCAAGAUGUAUCCCAUCUACCCUCUCUGUCCCUUUUCGCCACUUUGUUUUUCUUCAUAGCCCAUAUACCUUUCAUAUUUCAAAUAAUUUAAUAUGUGUGUGUGUUUUUAUUUUCUUUCCCC
rnacentral:lncRNA from 10 species